UGCUGAGCGGGGAGGCGGAGCCAUCUCCCCGCUGCGGCUCCCCGUUAACCCCUCCGGCCCCGGCGAGAGGCCUAUAGCAUCGCCGCGGUGGGUGGGGGACACGCACACCCCCCUCCCCGGGCUCCCCCCACCGACAAACUUUGAGGGUGGCGGCGUGGGAGGGAGCAUAAAUCAGACAAUGGAUGUAAACACUGGCUUAGAGGAGCUGCGUUAUUGCUGCGCUAUCGCUGCCUGCCGAUAUGAAGCUUUUUCAGCUGGUGGAGCAUAUGGCAGUUUUGAGGAAGGAACCUGGAAUUUGGAAUCAGCAAUUCUCAGGCUUUAAUCCUACUCCGGCUACAAAUGUCGCCUCCUCUCCAUCCUCCCCUCGUUUCAGAGGCCCAGACCCCGCUUGCCGCCGCAGUCGCAUCAUUUACUCUUUGCGCCUCGGUUUCUCCGGACGUCGAAGUGGGGCAGAUGAAGCAAUUCCCCUUCACCUUUGCAGAUCAGGCGCCAUUCAAGCAGCUUUUCGGACACAGAGCGACGUGCAAUUUCUCCAAACAACUCAACCUUUGAAAACCGAACACCUCCUCAGAGCAAAAAAAAAAUAUACAACACCCCAAAACCUGCAAAAAAGUUCAGCUGCAGAAAGAGCAGGGUUGAGCGUAUGAGCUCACUCUGACAUCACUGCCCGUGGCUUUCGUCCAGCAAGUGACAAAGACAGCAGACACCCCCUUUCCCUUCCAGAUCCCGCAGCCAAAUCCAGUGUGGAGCUCACAUCACGACCCCUCUCCGGACCCCCUCCUCACCCUUUCUUUAAUUGCCAUUCCUUUAAUCAACUUGCCCCCCCCCAGUAUUGGGCCAAGGAAAUGCUACUGUUGGAAGCACUUCAAGGGAAAGUUUCCGAAUGACUUCACUCUCUCCCAAGCCUGCAAGGCAGCAUGAAGAGAGUUCAAAUCCUCUGCUUUAUUCCCCCCUAAGCCAAUGAACAUGCUCGGGAUUCAGCUUAUCUCUGGCAUCAAAGCAAGUUUCUAUCAGAGGCGGCAGAAGCAGAGCUGGGCGACGGCGGUGUAAAUUUGGAGCGGGCUCAAAUGACUUCAGUGGAAUCACUCAGGAUCUUCCACUAAUGCGAGGGGGAAAAGGAAUCUGGUCCAGACAGCGUUACUGAAUGCAAAUGAGGUGUUCGCUAUCUUUCACAAAGAAAUAACCUUCCAGGCAACCCAUGAGCCUGAAAGUAGUAGCUGGGCUAACAGCAGAAAAUACAGCAUUUUGGUUCGUGCGGCGGGACGUGAGCCUACCUGCGUACAAGGGAGGGAGGAAGCCUAUCAGCUUAACUCUUAUUAGCAGACUUCUAGAGGGACAAGAAAGGGGGAAGAAAAAAAAGGAGAAAAAAAGAAAAGCAAAGCACACAAGCACAAGUGACACAAAGCAUUUGGGCAGAGCUGAAGAAUGGUGUAAGCACCGUAAGCAAUUAAAAGCAAAAAGUAAUGCAUCUCUUGGAGUGGCAAAAAGGAGUGGACCUGAUUUUGCACCAUUUUGCGAAGGUUUUGAUUAUUUUUAACAAAUCCAUCUUUGCCAGUUAGUUCUAAUAUCAGAAUAAAGUUUUGCAUUACGAAGCCUUAA